CCCUUAGACGUUCUGGGCCGCACGCGCGCUACACUGACCAGUGCAACAAGCAUCCGUCCUUGGCCGACAGGCCCGGGCAAUCUUUGAACGCUGGUCGUGAUGGGGAUAGACUUUUGCAAUUUUUGGUCUUCAACGAGGAAUUCCUAGUAAACGCAAGUCAUCAACUUGCAUUGAUUACGCCCCUGCCCUUUGUACACACCGCCCGUCGCACCUACCGAUUGAAUGGUCCGGUGAAGCCUCCGGAUUGGCGCGCACCUCGGUGCCGCCGAGAAGUUGGCUAAACCUUACCAUUUAGAGGAAGGUGAAGUCGUAACA
rnacentral:rRNA from 1 species